rnacentral:lncRNA from 1 species
UGGCGUCUGCUUACCUUGGCAGCCUCCAACUGGGCACAGAUCAUGCUCCGGUCCGCACGCAGGUUAGAACCGGGGGUCGCACGUGGCUUGCAUAGGUGCCAGGCAUUGAGGACCUGGUUUGCUAGUCCUGGGCGAUCAGCGUCUUUUGCCUUGCUCUGGCUGCUUCGUAUCCUGAGCCAACUAUUGUCAGAGCCACCGUCACGGCUGGAGCAGCUCUCGGCUGGUGAACCUGUGCGAGCCAGGAGGGGGUCCUCUGGGUCAGAGGCUCGUGGUGUUGCGGCUCAAACAAGGACUCCCACAGAACUUUACAGAAGAGGAAACCACGAGAAACCAAGUGAAGCCUCAAUUCCCAUCCUCCUCCGUCCCCCGGGAGCACCUCCCUUCCAGCCUGCGCUCGUCACUUCAGGUGCCCAGUGAUUUCUCAAUGAACAUUUCCCUCUGUCUGGCAGGAAUCUGAUCUUCCCACCAGAUGAGUUCAACGCUGACUGUUUUUCAAACCAUAUCUCAAAAGCCACACAGAACCCUGAGCACACAUUUCACCAGAUUUGACAGAUGAGCUUUGGUAUGAAGAAAACCUCCAAGAAUGGACUUGGCUGAGGUGCAACAAUAAACACCAGAAUCAACCAAAUGAUAAUACCA